CUGCACGUAACCACCAAAAUAACACAUAAGAGCUUGAAAACAAAUCGCCUUAGUGGUUGUCUGAAUGACAAGACUCUUAAGACUCAGCCAUCAUGAGUCUUGCUCCUGAGUUCAAGUCCUACACAGCCUGUAUGGUUGCCAGCCUGCACUGAUGAGGGCAGGACAGGACCCAGAGAACUAGCCAUCACCCAUAUCAAAGUAAAAAAGUUAAGGCAAAAAAUUACAAGCCCAGCUACUGAUUAAACUAAGGCAAAUAAUUUUACGAAUUUAUUUAUUUAAAGAAAAAUACAUAAGAAAAUAAUACAAGGAGCUACUAUAUAUCUUGCAUUCAUAACAAUUAUAAGAGAAAUUUACAAUUUACUCCCUAUAGUCUCUCCCAGAUAUCAGCUAUCAACAACAUCCAUCAGCAAUAUCCAGCAGUUAAACCAUCUCAAAUGAAAAUAUGGGAAUAUUGAUUAUAAAAAAGAAAUAGCAAGAGAACUGCACUUCAAAUUGUUAACUGAUCCUCAC
rnacentral:lncRNA from 1 species